UUUAUUGCGCUAGAGGAGGGGCCGUCGCGUCUCGAUUAGCUUGUUGGUGAGGUAAAAGCUCACCAAGGCGACGAUCAGUAGCUGGAUCGAGAGGUUGACCAGCCACACUGGGACUGAGAUACGGCCCAGACUCCUACGGGAGGCAGCAGUAAGGAAUCUUCCACAAUGGGCGAAAGCCUGAUGGAGCAAUGCCGCGUGCAGGAUGACGGCCUUCGGGUUGUAAACUGCUUUUAUAUGGGAAGAUUAUGACGGUACCAUAUGAAUAAGGACCGGCUAACUACGUG
rnacentral:rRNA from 1 species